rnacentral:rRNA from 1 species
GACGAACGCUGGCGGCGUGCUUAACACAUGCAAGUCGAACGGAAAGGCCCUGCUUUUGUGGGGUGCUCGAGUGGCGAACGGGUGAGUAACACGUGAGUAACCUGCCCUUGACUUUGGGAUAACUUCAGGAAACUGGGGCUAAUACCGGAUAGGAGCUCCUGCUGCAUGGUGGGGGUUGGAAAGUUUCGGCGGUUGGGGAUGGACUCGCGGCUUAUCAGCUUGUUGGUGGGGUAGUGGCUUACCAAGGCUUUGACGGGUAGCCGGCCUGAGAGGGUGACCGGCCACAUUGGGACUGAGAUACGGCCCAGACUCCUACGGGAGGCAGCAGUGGGGAAUAUGCACAAUGGGCGGAAGCCUGAUGCAGCAACGCCGCGUGCGGGAUGACGGCCUUCGGGUUGUAAACCGCUUUCGCCUGUGACGAAGCGUGAGUGACGGUAAUGGGUAAAGAAGCACCGGCUAACUAUGUG